rnacentral:snoRNA from 1 species
CAGCAAGCCUUCAGCAUGCUUGGAUCUGGGGUGACUCUUUGCAUGUCUACAGUGCUUAUAAGAACAUCAUGACAUUGUCUGAGGCCUUGUCUUGCUUCAUCCAAGAAAUUUUAGACAAUU